AAUAGAUACCCGGGUAGUCCACGCCGUAAACGAUGGAUACUAGCUGUUGGGCGCAAGUUCAGUGGCUAAGCGAAAGUGAUAAGUAUCCCACCUGGGGAGUACGAACGCAAGUUUGAAACUCAAAGGAAUUGACGGGGGCCCGCACAAGCGGUGGAGCAUGUGGUUUAAUUCGAUGAUACGCGAGGAACCUUACCAAGGCUUAAAUGCAGACUGACCGGUUUGGAAACAGACCUUUCGCAAGACGGUCUACAAGGUGCUGCAUGGUUGUCGUCAGCUCGUGCCGUGAGGUGUCAGGUUAAGUCCUAUAACGAGCGCAACCCCUGUUGUUAGUUGCCAGCGAGUCAUGUCGGGAACUCUAGCAAGACUGCCAGUGCAAACUGUGAGGAAGGUGGGGAUGACGUCAAAUCAUCACGGCCCUUACGCCUUGGGCUACACACGUGCUACAAUGGCCGGUACAGAGAGCAGCCACCCCGGCGAGGGGGAGCGAAUCUAUAAAGCCGGUCACAGUUCGGAUCGGAGUCUGCAACUCGACUCCG
rnacentral:rRNA from 1 species